rnacentral:lncRNA from 1 species
UUUUUUGCCUGUGACAAUCUUGGUGCUUUCAGAGUAUUGUGAACCGCAGGUGAAAGGUACAAAGCUGUAAUUGUAGAAUUACUAAUUGAAUUGUUCUGUCAAUCUGAAAAUUCAUGUUAUUAGCCUCUUGAUAAAUUUUAACAUGUUGGAAAUGUAAUUUGUUUGAUUAAUCCAUGCUUCUAUCGCUGCGUUGUCGGUUGUCUGGAUAAAACUUGUGUGUCGCCAUCGAUUUACAUGAUGUUUUUAUCGAAAUCAAAGUAGGUCAAAAUACUAAAUUCUUUUACGAUGGAAAAGCAGCUUAAGAAACCUAGGAAGACAUCUCUUACAUUUUAAUUAGUUGACUGGUUAUGGUGAAAAUUAUGGAUAAUAAUUGGGUUACUAGUGAAUAGUCAUUAAACAGUUGUGAAUUUGAAAAUAGACUUCCUGAAGGGCUCUAAAAAUUUAUAAAUGGAUGCUGUCCUUUUAAGUAUUACAUUUUGUUCUAUUUUAGCUGUAUGUCGACUGAAUACCUUUUGAAUGAAAUGUUGAAGGAGAGAAAGUUGAACCAACUUAUUUUGAUUGCAUUCUCAACUGUUGUUGUACGUAACCGGGGAUUAAUUCAUCCCAAUCGGUGUUUACACAUGUAUUUGAUGUACGAUAAUGGACGAGGCUAAUUUUCAUGUAAAUUUCUAUAUAUAUAUAUAUAUAUAUAUAUAAUAAAUUGCAUGAACUUAGAUCAAUCAAAUAAUUAUUCGCCCUAAUUAAUUUGCUCAUUUAGAUUGUAUUCAGGUGGAAUAAUGAUAUAUAAAGUGGAAGGGAGAAAUUUUUUUACAAAAAAUGGGAUUCCUGCAAAAUGGAUUAAUUAUUGAUUCGAAGAGGGAAGUGUGUGUGUGUGUGUAUAUAUAUAUAUAUGGUUUGGGUGUUUUGGGACUACUUCGAGCAGAUAAAGAUAAGUAAUGGAGAAGUAUAUUUGCAAUUGAUUUAUUUCACAUGCUACACAAUUUGGGGUUUAUUUAUAUAAUGGUUUGUACAAUUGAUUUAUGUACUUGUUUUCCAUCUAAGGAUAUGAGAGGAAGGAAUGCUGGAAUUUGUCACAGCUGCAGAAGCAAUGGGCAAUUUUUUAGUGAAUGCUCGAGAAAACGUCAUUGCCCGGGGUGUGCACAUGGAUUUCAAAAAUGUUUCGAUGUUGAAAGGAAGACGUGCAACAAAGGGCAAUUAUUCAACACAUGCAGUCAUAAAUGUGGAUUUUUUGAAUGGGUCGAACUAGGAGAGUCAAGCCGAGAAUAGAGUACCAUUAACGAAGCGCUUAGUGUUGCAGCAAAUGAGGAAGUCGAAGAUUUGCCAAGAAUGUUAGAUACGCUUAUUCCAAUAUCCGACGAACGAGACUUAGAGAUUAACCUGAACAUUACUUUCUGCAAGGGAAAAGGAAGUUCGGAAGGAAACGAGAAAGCAAAGGAGGCCACUUGAUUAGUUGUUUUGUGUUAAAUAUGUUAAUUGAAUUAUGUUUGUACCAUAACCCUCA